GACGAACGCUGGCGGCGUGCUUAACACAUGCAAGUCGAGCGGUAAGGCCCUUUCGGGGGUACACGAGCGGCGAACGGGUGAGUAACACGUGGGAACCUACCUUCUGGUACGGAACAACCAAGGGAAACUUUGGCUAAGACCGUAUACGACCUCCGGGUGAAAGAUUGAUCGCCGGAAGAGGGGCCCGCGUCCGAUUAGGUAGUUGGUGAGGUAACGGCUCACCAAGCCUUCGAUCGGUAGCUGGUCUGAGAGGAUGACCAGCCACACUGGGACUGAGACACGGCCCAGACUCCUACGGGAGGCAGCAGUGGGGAAUAUUGGACAAUGGGCGCAAGCCUGAUCCAGCCAUGCCGCGUGAGUGAUGAAGGCCUC
rnacentral:rRNA from 1 species